CUGUUGUCUGAGUGGCCAAAAAAAAAGAAAGAAAAUUGUCACAAGCUGUGAAGAAAGUAUUGGUUAGUCCAGAGGACCCCUCAUCAGUAAACUGGUAUUGGCUGGGAUGUUUCAUGUAAAAAACCAUCUGUUCAUCAUUUGCGACCAUUACAGACAUGUAUGUGUCAGGGGUCGUGUGCGGAGGCGAGGAAGAGAUGACCCACACGCAGGACUCUUGGUGCAGAAUGAGGAGGUUUUUUGGAAACGGAGACAACAGAUGACAGGAUGGCUGGCUGAACUUAAUGGACUGGUAAACUAACUGGCUGACUGAACUGAACACGUGACAAGAACAACAUCAACAUCAAUGACACGACAAGGGCUGAAGGGAACAGAGGGCUUAAAUACAUGACUAACAAUGACAAUGAUUGGAGACAGUGUUCUGCUGAGUCCUGGGAUUCCUCCUGAUGGAUCAAUUCAUUACACCUGCACUCCCCAACAGCAGCAGCUUCUCCUGGCAGGAUCAGCACCACAGCAAUUACAAGUACUGCACAGGAACAGCUCAAGACCAGGCCUUCAGUCUGACCACCAGAAUAAACCUGAUCCUUUGGGAGGCCCCCAGACCAGGACGAGCAGCUCCCAAAGGAUCCACUGCCAACGUUCUCAGACCAAAAGAUGGUUUGAAUGUUGGGGACGACUGCUGUAAAGUUGAAGCAUGAAUGAAGAGGACCAAACACGAAAAACCAGUUUGAAAUAAAAACAAUUAAAGCAUUUCGGUCACAGUCCUCCUUCAUACACGCAGACUAGAUAAAAUAAUCAGCUGCAAACCUAAAAAUAGACGUCAGUUAAAUCAACAACCACAUACCUGAUUAACAUACAGUUAUACUAUGCUGCUGUAGCGCUGAAGCUGUACAGUAGGCCGUUAGGGAGAUGUGAUAUGAUCUCCCAGUCUGUCAGCGAGGAAACCACCAGUUAAUAUUUAAUCAGCAAUUUAGUUUGCCUUUCAAAUAUUCAUGAAAUCUAAUCAACUUAAUCACGGUGUGAUCGUUAUUUCACAGCGUAAUGAAACUCCCCGCCAGUUCACUCAACUGUGUCCAGGGUGGCUGACUUCACGCCGUCGCUCUCUAAAACAAUAAAACUGACACACACACACACACACACACACACACACACACACACACACACCUAAAGAUGCAGGCACACAUGCAUCACAUAAAAAACAAUGUAGCUGACUAGGAAAGGAGAAGAGAAACCAAUAAAUAAACAGAUUAGUGUGAAAGGAAGCAAAAAAGGAAAGAAGAAAGGAUAGAAGUAAGAAAGGAGAAAUGCUAUAAGAAGGAAGGAUAUAAAAACAAUGAAAGAAGGAAGAAAAGUCAAGAUGAAGGGAUGGUAGUGUAUAGGGAAGGAUACGGGAAGGCGGUAUGAAAGGAAAGGAAGGUAGAAAAAAGACUGUAGAGAAGAAAGGAAAGAGAAAUACACGAAAAAAGGAAGGAAAGAAGGGACUGAGGAAGGAUGGAAGGUCGCAUGAAAGGAAAAAAACAUAUAGAAGAAACAAAGAAAGGAUACCAAGAAGGAAUUGAUGGCAUAUUGAGGAAAUAUUAAGAGAAGGAAGAAAAAAAUAAUGAAAACAAAGAAAGAAGGGAAUAAGGAAGGAAAAAGUAAAGAAAGGAGGGAUGGGAAAGAAGGAAGAAGAAAAAAGGAAGGAUGAAGGAAGGACAAAGGUGGAAGGAUAGAUAAGAAACAAAGGAACAAAUACAGGACGGAAGGAAGGAAAGAAGGAAGCUGCGUUGUGUUUUUCAGCUUUGCUGUUAUUCUGCCCCCUGGUGGCUAAAAAGCCACAUAAAGCAUCUUUAAAGAUUAUUGGACAGUUUUUGCACAACAAAAGGAAAUGAGAUGAUCAAUAUGAAAGAUAUACUCAACUUCAUACUAAACAGACUCAUAAAUUAUUGACACCAUCAGCCAUAACUCUGACUUUAGGAGCUGUUUGCCAUUUUUAGAAAUACAUUUAUUCCCUUUCUUGCCAGGAGUUAGUCAAUAAGACUCUUGGGGGGCCGAGCUAGCUGUCCUCCCGCAGAGCUUCCAGUCUUUAUGCAAAACUAAAUGUGCAGCUGGGAGUUUUGCAUACUGAUGUGAGUGGGGUAUAUCAGUCUGCUAUUUUAUUAUCCGAGUAUUUUCUUUUUUAUGUUACAGCUUCUUCAGAUGUUUGGUUUGGGCUUUAAGUGGUUUCCAGAAGUUCUCCCCUAAAGGCGAGAUGGCAGAGGCAUCAGAUGGAUUGGAGUACCCUUGGAGCAUUAAUUUUUAGAAAACUUCUCAAGAGUUUAUUUUAUUCAUCUCAAACUGAUUAACUUUCCUGCAGUUUUGAGAUGAAGCUGUACUUUAUGAAACAGAUCGAGGCACCCUGAGAGCACGUACCAGUAGAUUUGGUCCCAUGUUGGUGAGGGAGAGCAGGAAACAACAUUAUGAAGUGUAUACACACAUGCGCCUCAGAGAAGAUCCUGCAGCUUUCUGCUGUGUGCAACAAAAUAUUAUAAUAUGGCAAGAAAUGAUAACAUGUACAGCUUCUCCUCCUGCCGUUUCCCGACAUCCAAUCUGAUAAGAUGAGAUAAAGUGGAUGUGAGACUUUAGCAUCACGCAGACACAACAGAGAGGCUAUUACUGAGUCUGAUGAAAAACAGAUAGAUUGUACUGUAUUUCAGCCUGUGGCUAAGAUCCCACAGGCCGGGCAGAAUGAGGUGCUCUCCAAAAUGAGCUCGACAUCCCCGCAAAUAGGACACAGCAGCUUCCCCGUGUUCUCCUCGGGCCAAGCAUUACACUGUACAUUAGAUCCAUCUCAGCGUUCCUCUGUGGAGAGCUGCGGCAGCAU
ensembl:lncRNA